AUGCUUGAAUCUGACAACGCUGUUGCCAGAUUCAAGCAGAUGAUUCCAUCAUCUUUUGCCUCAAUGUCUUGUAGAUACACAAAGAACAGUCACCUUAAUCCUUAUGAACAGGUUGACUGUAUUGUGGAUGAUGCUGCAGCUUCUCUACGUACAAUGUUAGACACAGUGGCUCCUCUGAAGAAGAAGACAGUGAAUCAGAGGAGGUUAGCUCCGUGGUAUAACUCAGAGAUCCGCAGCCUAAAGCAAAGGACCAGACAACUAGAAAGACAGUGGCGUUCCAACAAAAUAAAUGUAAACUGCAUUGCAUGGAAGGACAGUCUAAUGAAAUAUAAAAAAGCACUUUGUGCUGCUAGAAAAACAUAUUAUUCCUCCCUAAUUGAGGAAAACAAAAACAAUCCCAGGUUUCUUUUCAGCACUGUAGCCAGGCUGACAAAGAGUCAUAGCUGUAUUGAGUCUACUAUCCCCUUAAAUCUCACCAGCAAUGACUUUAUGAACUACUUUACUAAUAAAAUUAUCAUCAUUAGAAAAAACAUUCAGCAGCGACUUCUUCCAAAUGACAGAAAGCACUGUCUAGAUCCAUCAACUUUAAAUUUAUUAAAUCCUCUGUCUUACCUAGACAGCUUCUCCCCCAUAACUCAUAUGGAGUUAACCUCAAUAAUUAACUCUUCCAAGUCGUCCACUUGUCUUUUAGAUCCAAUCCCAACCAGAUUACUCAAAGAAGUUCUACCUUUAAUCAGCUCAUUCAUAUUAAAUCAAAUCAACCAAUCUUUACAACUAGGCUAUGUACCACAGGCUUUUAAGGUGGCUGUGGUCAAACCUCUAUUGAAAAAACCAACCCUUGACCCUGGACAACUAGCCAACUAUAGGCCCAUUUCAAAUUUACCCUUUAUUUCCAUCAUUCUGGAAAAAUCCGUGGCUAAACAAUUAUCUGACCACCUGAGUGGGAAUAACCUGUACGAAGAUUUUCAGUCAGGAUUUAGAAAACAUCAUAGCACAGAAACAGCUCUGGUUAGAGUCACUAAUGAUCUUCUAUUAGCUUCGGACAAUGGUCUAGUUUCUGUCCUUGUCCUGUUAGAUCUUAGUGCUGCAUUUGAUACAAUUGAUCAUAACAUUCUAUUGCAGACACUAGAACAUAGAAUCGGGAUUAAAGGAACAGCAUUGGGAUGGUUUAAAUCCUAUUUAAAUCCUUCCAUCCAUCCAUUUUCUUAA
rnacentral:lncRNA from 1 species